UGGCAGAAGCUAGUGGUUCGACAAUUGGAAGCACUCCACAUGACAAGGAUCAAUCAUCAUCAACACCUUUUAGCGACAAUUCGACUCCAAUUAGUACUCCUCAAGAAAUACCUAGUCAAGAAGAUAUAAACCAAACUUCGAUAGAGGUAUGUGACGAGGAUAGUAGUCAAGUAAUUGGAAAAAGAAAAUUGAUUUCGGUUGUGUGGAAUCAUUUUAAAAAGGUAAAGAUAGAUGGGGUGGAUAAGGCCGUAUGUAACUAUUGUAGUAAGAAACUAGGAGGAGGGAGUAGAAAUGGAACAAGAGAAAUGGAACAAGACAUUUGCAUGAUCAUUUUAAAAGGUGUCCUCUUCGAACACAAAAGGAUAUUAGGCAAGCAAUUUUGAAUCCUACUAAAGAUGUCGGUGGGAAAGUUAAAGUUAGUACAUAUACGUUUGACCAAGAGAAUGCCAGAAAAGAGCUUGCAAACAUGAUUGUUUUGCAUGAAUACCCUCUUUCAAUAGUGGAACAUUAUGGGUUUAGGAGGUUUAUAAAUACGGUUCAACCAUUGUUUAAAGCGGUUUCUCGUAAUACAAUUAGAAAUGAUAUUUUUAAAUUAUAUGAUUACGAAAAAUCCAAAACAAUGGAGUUGUUAGAGAAGAAUUAUGGUAGAGUUGCAAUUACUACGGAUAUGUGGACAUCUAACCAAAAUAGAGGAUUCAUGGCUAUUACGGCACAUUUCAUUGAUGAUGGUUGGAUACUUCAAAGUCGAAUUAUAAGGUUUGUAUAUGUGCCUUGUCCACAUACUUCUGAGGUUCUUUGCAAUGUUUUUAUGGAUUGCAUAUUGGAUUGGAAUAUAGAUGGUAAGCUUUCUACUUUGACCUUAGACAAUUGUAGCACAAAUGAUGCUUUGGUCAAUCUUCUUUUGGAUAAGCUUCCUAAUUCUUCAUUUUUGUUAAAAGGUCAAUUUUUUCAUAUGCGGUGUGGUGCACAUAUAUUGAAUUUGAUUGUGAAAGAUGGUUUGGAAAUAAUUUGUGGAAGUAUUGAAAAAAUUCGUGAAAGUGUUUAUUUUUUGACAUCAACACCAAAAAGAGAGGAAAAAUUCUUAGAAUGUGUUCGUCAAUUGAAAAUUUCUUGUGAUAAGAAGUUGGUUCUUGAUUGUAAAACUAGGUGAAAUUCUACAUAUUUGAUGCUUGCUACUGCUUUGAAAUAUAGGACUGUUUUUCCUCGUUUGAAACAACGAGAGUCACUAUAUAAAUGUUUGCCUAGUGAUCAAGAUUGGGAUUUAGCCAAAGAGGUUUGUGAAAGGCUAGAGUUGUUUUAUGAAAUGACUGAAAUAUUUUCAGGAACAAAGUAUCCUACAGCUAAUCUUUUUUUCCCACACAUUUGUGAGAUUAGGAUGUCAAUUUGUGAUUGGCUAACAUCUUCUUGUGAGGAAAUUAGAUUGAUGGCCGCGGGUAUGAUAUCUAAAUUUAAAAAAUAUUGGAGUGAAACACAUGGAAUAAUGGCUGUAGCAACUCUUUUAGAUCCAAGGUAUAAAAUGAAAGUGAUAGAAUAUUAUUUUCCUUUGAUUUAUGGGGAUGAAAGUGUGCAUAAGAUAGCCAUUAUACGUCAAAUUUGCUAUGAUUUAGUGAAGGAGUAUCAAUCAAAACGCAAUUUGAGUGCAAAUGUUCCAAAUGUUUUAUCUUCUCAAUCCAAUAUGACUCCAUCUGGAAAAAAAGAUCGUUUGGCAAAAUUUGAUUUGUUUGUUUCUAGCACUACUAAUCUUGAUAAUGUAAAAUCUGAACUUGAUCGUUAUUUGGAGGAGCCGGUUUUGCCUAGAUCUAAUGACUUUGACAUAUUGGCAUGGUGGAAAGUAAAUGCAAUGAAGUAUCCUACUUUGCAUAAUAUUGCAAGAGAUAUUUUAGCCAUUCCAGUAUCAACUGUUGCAUCUGAGUCUGCAUUCAGUACCAGUGGAAGAAUUGUGAGUCCACAUUGAAGUAGACUUCAUCCUAAAACUUUAGAAGCUUUGAUGUGUGCACAAGAUUGGUUAUGGGCUGAAAUUAAUGGUAUGAAAAAUUAAAUUUUAUAUUUUUUUGUGUUAAAUAAUUUUUGUAUUUAUUGUUAACUAAUUAAUCUCAUUUUUGUUAGCUUCAUCUUCUUCACCGUAUGUUGGAGCUUGUUCUUCUACUAUGAGUGACAUAGAAAUUGAUGAGGAGCAAUCAACUCUUACGGAACAUUCUUUCAUGGAGACUUAAGGAAAUGAGAAGUAAAACUUUAUUAUGUGUGCAUGUGUAUUUUUAUAAAUUUUAUGUUUAUGUAUUUAGAUUAUAUUAUAUUGUA